AGAUUGAACGCUGGCGGCAUGCCUUACACAUGCAAGUCGAACGGCAGCACGGGGGCAACCCUGGUGGCGAGUGGCGAACGGGUGAGUAAUGCAUCGGAACGUGCCCAGUAGUGGGGGAUAACUAGUCGAAAGAUUAGCUAAUACCGCAUACGACCUAUGGGUGAAAGCGGGGGAUUCGACAAGAACCUCGCGCUAGUCGGAGCGGCCGAUGUCUGAUUAGCUAGGUUGGACGGGGUAAAAGCCCACAAGGCGACGAUCAGUAGCUGGUCUGAGAGGACGACCAGCCACACGUGGGACUGGACGACGACGGCCCAGACUCCGUAGGGA
rnacentral:rRNA from 1 species